rnacentral:tRNA from 1 species
AGCCUACUAGCUCAAUUGGUAGAGCAUUGUGCAAAUGCCCAAAAGAUGUGGGUUCGAAUCCCACGUAGGUUC